UGGACUAGACAACAGCGGACCUUCCUAUUUCUAGGAAGGUCCGCUGUUGUCUAGUCCAGGUAAGGUUCUUCGCGUUGCGUCGAAUUGAACCACAUGCUCCACCGCUUGUGCGGGCCCCCGUCAAUUCCUUUGAGUUUUAAUCUUGCGACCGUACUCCCCAGGCGGGGCACUUAAUGCGUUAGCUGCGGCACCCAGGGGGUCAAUACCCCGGACACCUAGUGCCCAUCGUUUACAGCGUGGACUAC
rnacentral:misc_RNA from 1 species